AGAGUUUGAUCCUGGCUCAGGAUGAACGCUAGCUACAGGCUUAACACAUGCAAGUCGAGGGGCAGCAUCGCGAUAGCUUGCUAUUGCGGAUGGCGACCGGCGCACGGGUGAGUAACGCGUAUCCAACCUUCCCGCAACUGGGGAAUAACCUUGCGAAAGUAAGACUAAUACCCCAUGGUCUCCACGGAUGGCAUCUGAAAUGGAGUAAAGGUUUCGGCCGGUUGCGGAUGGGGAUGCGUCCGAUUAGCUUGACGGCGGGGUAACGGCCCACCGUGGCAUCGAUCGGUAGGGGUUCUGAGAGGAAGGUCCCCCACAUUGGAACUGAGACACGGUCCAAACUCCUACGGGAGGCAGCAGUGAGGAAUAUUGGUCAGUGGGCGGAAGCCUGAACCAGCCAAGUAGCGUGAAGGACGACUGCCCUAUGGGUUGUAAACUUCUUUUAUGCGGGGAUAAAGUUCGCCACGUGUGGCGUUUUGCAGGUACCGCAUGAAUAAGGACCGGCUAAUUCCGUGCCAGCAGCCGCGGUAAUACGGAAGGUCCAGGCGUUAUCCGGAUUCAUUGGGUUUAAAGGGAGCGUAGGCCGCCUUUUAAGCGUGUUGUGAAACGUAGGGGCUCAACCCCUGCACUGCAGCGCGAACUGGAGGGCUUGAGUACACACAAAGUAGGCGGAAUUCAUGGUGUAGCGGUGAAAUGCUUAGAUAUCAUGAAGAACCCCGAUUGCGAAGGCAGCUUACUGGAGUGUAACUGACGCUGAAGCUCGAAAGCGCGGGUAUCGAACAGGAUUAGAUACCCUGGUAGUCCGCGCGGUAAACGAUGGAUGCCCGCUGUUUGCCAAUUUGGUAAGCGGCCAAGCGAAAGCGUUAAGCAUCCCACCUGGGGGAGUACGCCCGGCAACGGUGAAACUCAAAGGGAAUUGACGGGGGCCCGCACAAGCGGAGGAACAUGUGGGUUUAAUUCGAUGAUACCGCGAGGAACCUUACCCGGGCUUGAAUUGCAGGAGAACGAUCCAGAGAUGGUGAGGCCCUUCGGGGCUCCUGUGAAGGUGCUGCAUGGUUGUCGUCAGCUCGUGCCGUGAGGUGUCGGCUUAAGUGCCAUAACGAGCGCAACCCCUCUCCGUAGUUGCCAUCGGGUGAAGCCGGGCACUCUGCGGAUACUGCCACCGUAAGGUGUGAGGAAGGUGGGGAUGACGUCAAAUCAGCACGGCCCUUACGUCCGGGGCUACACGCGUGUUACAAUGGGGCAUACAGAAAGCAGGCGGCCGGCAACGUCCGUCUAAUCAUCAAAGUGUCCCUCAGUUCGGACUGGGGUCUGCAACCCGACCCCACGAAGCUGGAUUCGCUAGUAGUCGCGCAUCAGCCAUGGCGCGGUGAAUACGUUCCCGGGCCUUGCACACACCGCCCGUC
rnacentral:rRNA from 1 species